CUAAAAUAUCUUAAAAAGUUAACAAAAUAUAUAAUAAAAUUCUGCAAUAUCAUUCAGCAGGUCAAUAUUAACAAAAUAAAACAAAUACAAAUGAAACUUUUGUGAACAUGUCAUGCUCUUGGUGUACUAAUACAGAAGUGUACAAAUUAGUUAUUCCAAUUAUAAUUUACACAUGUUUAUAAGAAAUUCUAAGAACAAGAACAUUUUUUUCAAAAGACACAUACUGUGGAUUCAUUCAAUUUCUAUGGAUUAAAGAAAACUUGCAUUUUCAUAGGUAUUUGAUUGUGGAAAAACUGCAUAAAAUCUUAUAGACAUUUUGUACAUUGUUAAAAUAUUUAAAUUCCUUAUUCAUCUGUUCAAAAACAAAUCCACCAAAAAGGAAUAAUAAUGAAUCCACAGUAUCUGAUCAGGAUUGAUUGUUGAUGUUUUAUGAAUCAGCAGAACAACAAAAAUAAGAGAAUGAGGACAUUGUGACUGAACAUAUAAUAAUAAUAACAAAUAUCUAAAAGCCACCAGAGGAGUGCGCUCUAAUGCUGAUAUUGGUAUGGGUAGAAAUAGAGCUUCAUGUAAAUGAGACAAUAAUCGCAUGAAACAGGUGAGUACUGGAUUAUCACAGAAACAGUUAUAAGGCCACAUUGGUGAUUAAAGAGAGGUUAUCAUUUAGGGACUACUUUAAAUGAUGCAUAUCCUAACAACACAUAAAUGUGAGGAAAUAAGGUAAAAUUUAUGGUUUCAUUCAUAAGAUGUUAAGUAACUCUAAUGUAAAAACAGAUGUGUGCAUUGCCAAUGAGUAUUUUAAAUAUUUACUGAAUAAAUAAGAGAUGUAGAUUAUAAAUGCAACUUGGCGGCAGGAGGUUCGCCAAUAUGGUAAGCUUGGUAGCAGGGGUUUAUGAAUAGUGUAAGUUUGGUUGCAGGAAGCUAAACAAGCUAGUUAGUAGCAGAGGUUUACCAAUAUGGGAUGCUUAAUAGCCGAGGUUUACCAACAUUUUACCAAUAUGGUUAUUUUGAUAGCAGGGAGUUUAACAAUACUGUAAGCUAGGUAUGAAGGCUCAGCAAUAUGGUAUAUGCUUGGUAACAGGUAGGAGGUUUACUAAUAUGGUAAUAACCUUACUAAUAUUACGAGUAGCUUGGCAGCAGGUGGUUUAUUAGAAGUUAGUUAACAAGAUGGUAGGCUUUGUAGCAAGAGGUUUAUUAAUAUGAUAAGCUUAGUAGCAAGGGAGAAAACACUGUAGUCAGCUUAAUUUAGUGGCAGGUAUUCAACAAUAAUGUUUACCAGUAAUGUAAGGUUAGUAAAGAGUGUUUACUACUAAGGUAAGCUUUAUAGUAAAGGUUCAAUAUGAAAAGAGAUUGUCUUGUAAAAAAAGUAAAAUAGGAAAUUAUAUAAAUAGCUAUGACACAAAUGCAUACUGGAUUGAGUCAAUAGUGAAAUAUCAAACUAGAUUUACAGCAAUGUUAAAAACACUAAAUCUGUACAAAACAUUAAUGUUGGAACGUUAUAUACUUUGAGUAUCAUAAUUAAUUUACAUAUUUAGUGAUUGAGUGGAAAGGAUGAAGUUUACUUUUAACUGAAAAAAAACCAGAUUGUAUACAUAUAUAUCAUCUAUUUUUCACUAUACAUACACGCUAUUUCAAAUUCUUUUUAGAAAUUAUACUAAUAUGUACCAGAUAAAACAUAC
rnacentral:lncRNA from 1 species